rnacentral:lncRNA from 1 species
AUUUAUAGGAAAUUUUUCACCUUCCUCAUUAAUGCAAAUCCAACAUUUUCCACAAAGUUGGUUUGCAUGGCAAAGAAUUUCUUCCAAAAAAAUUUCGGUGGCAGCUGCAUGGUUUGAAACAUUUUCCAUCCACAUUGUUUUGUCAACAAUUGCUUACCAUGCAUGCAAAGUCUUCAACAUUUGCUGCCAUAUGUGUCUGCCACUAUUCGGAAAUUUUUGCCUGACACAUGAGAAAUUUGUGAAGCCUAUAACUUAGGCUCCAUAUUUUCAACAAUCUUUCUGCUGUUUACUAAGCUUUUAGAAUUUUAAUUUCUUAUUAAGACAAUCUGGUAAAUACAAAUCGGAAAUGUAACCAAGAAAUAUUUUUUUGAAGGCACAAUGAAUGUGGAUACGGUGUUUACAUACCAUCCUGAUAAAGCUACAAAGAUAGGAAUUGGAUUAGGGCGAGGAAUUCAAAAAUUCCUUUGAGUUGUAAGGCACACCAAAAGCUUCAGUUAGAGAGAAGGUAGGAGAGGAAAUUUGUUUCGACGCUGUGGCACCUUUUGCUCUGUGAUCACCAAUAAGUUCUAAAAAAUGUGUUCAACCUUCAAAAUUCUAAGUUGAGAAACGAAAAAAACCAGUAUUUUAAAUUAUAUGUUCUUGGCUAUAUGUGUUUGUAAUGCUUAUCAAUAGUUGUGCCUUGCAUUGGUUUCUUGGGGUUGCCCCAAAGCAUAUCAUCCAUCUUGUGUAAAUCGAGAAGAGGCCUUCUUUAACACGAAGGGUUGUUGUAACUGUGAUAGGUGCCAAUCUUUAUCUCCACGCACAUGCACAAAUUUGGAGAAAAUAAUGCAUGUUUUUAUGAGUUAAUUUGAUGGAAAAUUUGGCUUGUUAUGUAGGCGGUCUUACUAUUGGCCUCCAUGUAAAUAUCGUUGUCAUAUCAUUCAUAUGGAUGUAAUUAGAUUUUACUGUUAUUAUUAACUGCGAUAGGCUGCAUUUGUUUUCCAUGCCAAAAUGUGCUUAUCCACUCCUCCAUUAGUGCAUCUUGCAAUGUUGAAUAGUAAUGUCUUCUCACAUUCAUGGUUCCAGUUAUUAGUUUUCAAAUUUUUUGAAGAAGUCUUCGAAUUUUAGCCAAAUUGACGUAUUAUACUUGUACAAUAUUAAGCCUUUUAAAUGCCUAUAUUAAUUGAAAAUUGUAGGGUUAGUUUUUCUGAGAAAUGUCAACCUCAAGCCUAUAUUUUAAGAAUUUCUGCACCUGGAUUCCCAACAAUACUUGUGAUUCAAUAUUGCUAUCCUGAAACUUUAAAAACUUAAUAAAAAUUGAUUUUGUUUCACAAAAUGUGUCAUACACGCUAAGCUAACAGCAAUUUAGCAAAAGCAUUUUCUUUCAUAUACCUUGUUAGUUAGAUGGACGACAAAUUUCACACUUUUAAAUAGAGACGCUUAUGUAUAGCAUUCAGCUAUAUGCUGAAAUCUUAUUCCAGUUUUAAACGAAAGUUCUCCUAAUCUAUAUAUUUUUAUGUCUCAACAGCUGUAUUCAAUCUCUGCUAGGUGAUCAGUUAGCAAUAUGAAAAGAAACGUGACGUUGUCUGGGGAUGGAAACCAACAUGUAUCCAUCAUCGGCAUUAUUAGGGCAUGAGAAAGAUGAGUAUUGUUGUUUUGCCUAUUGAUGAGCUAAUAGAAAAGGCUGAUGGUUUUGCUUGUGUUUUCUCUCAUUUAUGUUAACUGUUUCUUAUUUUCUAUUCUCACAUGUAGCAAAUAUUUAGAAAACUUCCCUUUCCGUUAAAAUGGAAGUGGAAGCCCAUUCUUAGCAAAGCAGGAUAGGACCGUGGCUCCAAUUGCAUUUACAGAAAUAGUAUUUAGAAAACUUGAUCCUUCCAUGAAGGUACACAGUUUGCCUUUUGUAGUAAAUCAACAAGUUCAAAUAUGUGGAUUCAAUUAAAUAUUCAGUUGAAGCAUUUUUUUUUUUUUUUUUGAAUUUGGCAUCGAAAGAUUGAAAUGAUUAUUAAAAGUUUC